rnacentral:rRNA from 1 species
AGUCGAGCGAGGUAGCAAUACCUAGCGGCAGACGGGUGCGUAACAUGUGGGAAUCUGCCUUUUGGUUCGGAAUAACACGGGGAAACCUGUGCUAAUACCGGAUAAGUCCUUACGGAGAAAGUUUUAAUGCCAAAAGAUGAGCCCGCAUUUGAUUAGUUUGUUGGUGAGGUAAUGGCUCACCAAGACUACAAUCAAUAGCUGAUUUGAGAGGAUGAUCAGCCACACUGGGACUGAGAUACGGCCCAGACUCC